rnacentral:rRNA from 1 species
GACAGAGGGUGCAAACGUUGCUCGGAAUUACUGGGCGUAAAGCCGCGUGUAGGCGGUUCCGCAAGUCAGGUGUGAAAGCCCAGGGCUCAACCCUGGAAGUGCACUUGAUACUACGGAGCUUGAGUACUGAAGAGGAGAGCGGAAUUCCCGGUGUAGAGGUGAAAUUCGUAGAUAUCGGGAGGAACACCAGUGGCGAAGGCGGUCUCCUGGGG